CAGUAGAAAAUAAGAUUGUAGAACGUAAAACCUUUAAUUCCUCAUAAGUUUAAUUGGUCCCGAUCGAGUUAGACAAAUCCUGAUAUAUUGAUUAUCUGCUGAUACCAAGUCUGAUCCACAGUAGUGCAGUAAAUAAACAAAGUAGUGAGCAGUAAAGAAACGCAGGAGGGGGCACUAAAUAAACGCAGUGAGAGCAUUAAGAAAUGCAAUAGAGAGCAGUAAAUAAACGCAGUAGAGGGCAGGAAAGAAACGCAGUAGAGAGUAGUUAAUAAGCGCAGUAGAGCGCAGUAAAUAAAGGCAGUAGAGGGCAGUAAAGAAACACAGUAGAGUGCAGUAAAUAAACGCAGUAGACUGCAGUAAAUAAACGCAGUAGAGUGCAGUAAAUAAACGCAGUAGAGUGCAGUAAAUAAACGCAGUAGAGCGCAGUAAAUAAAAGCAGUAGAGUGUAGUAAAUAAACGCAGUACAGAGCAGUAAAGAAAUGCAGUAUAGAGCAGUAAAGAAACGCAGUAGUGUGCAGUAAAUAAAUGCAGUAGAGAGCAGUAAAUAAAUGCAAUAGAGCGCAGUAAAUAAACGCAGAAGAGGGCAGUAAAGAAACGCAGUAAAUAAAUGCAGAAGAGCGCAGUUAAGAAACACAGCAAAGAAACGCAGUAAAUAAACGCAGUAGAGAGCAAUAAAUAAAUGCAGUAUAGAGCAGUAAAUAAACGCAGUAGAGAGCAGUAAAUAAAUGCAAUAGAGAGCAGUAAAUAAACGCAGUGGAGAGCAGUAAAUAAAUGCAGUAGAGUGUAGUAAAUAAACGCAGUAGAGAGAAAUAAAGAAACGCCGUAAAUAAACGCAGUAGAGGGCAGUAAAUAAACACAGUAGAGAGCAGGAAAUAAACGCAGUAGAGCGCAGUUAAUAAAAGCAGUAAAUAAACGCAGUAGGGUGUAGUAAAUAAACUCAGUAUUGUGCAGUAAAUAAACGCAGUAGAGAGCAGUAAAUAAAUGUAGUAGAGAGCUGUAAAGAAACGCAGUAGAGAGCAGUAAAGAAACGCAGUAGAGUGUAGUAAAUAAACUCAGUAGAGUGUAAUAAAUGAACUCAGUAGAGAGCAGUAAAUAAAUGCAGUAGAGGGCAGUAAAGAAACGCAGUAGAGUGUAGUAAAUAAAUGCAGUAGAGUGUAGUAAAUAAACUCAGUAGAGAGCAGUAAAUGAACGCAGUAAAGAGCAGUAAAUAAACGCAGUAUAGAGCAGUAAAUAAACGCAGUAUAGAGCAGUAAAUAAACGCAGUAGAGAGCAGUAAAUAAACGCAGUGGAGAGCAGUAAAUAAAAGCAGUAGAAUGUAGUAAAUAAACGCAGUAGAGAGCAGUAAAUAUACGCCGUAGAGAGCAGUAAAUAAAAGCAGUAUAGAGCAGUAAAGAAACGCAGUAGAGAGCGGUAAAGAAAUGCAGUAGAGAGCGGUAAAGAAACGCUAUAGAGCAGUAAAUAAACGCUGUAGAGAGCAGUAAAUAAACGCAGUAUAGAGCAGUAAAGAAACCUAGUACAGAGCAGUAAAUAAAUGCAAUAGAGCAGUAAAUAAAAGCAGUAGAGAGCAGUAAAUAAACGCAGUAUAGAGCAGUAAAUAAAAGCAGUAGAGAGCAGUAAAUAAACGCAGUAGAGAGCAGUAAAUAAAAGCAGUAGAGAGCAGUAAAUAAACGCAGUAUAGAGCAGUAAAUAAACGCAGUGGAGAGCAGUAAAUAAAAGCAGUAGAAUGUAGUAAAUAAACUCAGUAGAGAGCAGUAAAUAUACGCCGUAGAGAGCAGUAAAUAAAAGCAGUAUAGAGCAGUAAAUAAACGCAGUAGAGAGCAGUAAAUAAACGCAGUGGAGAGCAGUAAAUAAAAGCAGUAGAAUGUAGUAAAUAAACGCAGUAGAGAGCAGUAAAUAUACGCAGUAGAGAGCAGUAAAGAAACGCAGUAGAGAGCAGUAAAUAAACGCAGUAGAGAACAGUUAAUAAACACCGUAGAGAGCAGUAAAUAAACGCAGUAUACAGCAGUAAAUAAACGCAGUAGAGAACGGUAAAUAAACGCAGUAGAGUGUAGUAAAUAAACUCAGUAUUGUGCAGUAAAUAAACGCAGUAGAGAGCAGUAAAUAAACGCAGUGAAGAGCAGUAAAUAAAUGUAGUAGAGAGCAGUAAAUAAACGCAGUAGAGGGCAGUAAAUAAAAGCAGUAGAAUGUAGUAAAUAAACGCAGUAGAGAGCAGUAAAUAAACGCAGUAGAGUACAGUAAAUAAACGCAGUAGAGUGUAGUAAAUAAUCGCAGUAGAGUGUAAUAAACUCAGUAGAGAGCAGUAAAUAAACGCAGUAGAGGGCAGUAAAGAAACGCAGUAGAGUGUAGUAAAUAAAUGCAGUAGAGUGUAGUAAAUAAACUCAGUAGAGAGCAGUAAAUAAACGCCAUAGAGAGCAGUAAAUAAAGGCAGUAGAGGGCAGUAAAGAAACGCCGUAGAGAGCAGUAAAUAAACGCAGUAUACAGCAGUAAAUAAAUGCAGUAGAGAACAGUAAAUAAACGCUGUAGACAGCGGUAAAUAAACGCAGUAGAGAGCGGUAAAGAAACGCAGUAGAGAGCGGUAAAGAAAUGCAGUAGAGAGCAGUAAAGAAACGCUAUAGAGCAGUAAAUAAACGCUGUAGAGAGCAGUAAAUAAACGCAGUAUAGAGCAGUAAAGAAACCUAGUACAGAGCAGUAAAUAAAUGCAAUAGAGCAGUAAAUAAAAGCAGUAGAGAGCAGUAAAUAAACGCAGUAUAGAGCAGUAAAUAAAAGCAGUAGAGAGCAGUAAAUAAACGCUGUAGAGAGCAGUAAAUAAAAGCAGUAGAGAGCAGUAAAUAAACGCAGUAUAGAGCAGUAAAUAAAAGCAGUACAGAGCAGUAAAUAAACGCUGUAGAGAGCAGUAACUAAACGCAGUAUAGAGCAGUAAAGAAACACAGUAGAGAGCUGUAAAGAAACGCACUAGAGAGCGGUAAAGAAACGCAAUAGAGCAGUAAAUAAACGCUGUAGAGAGCAGUAAAUAAACGCAGUAUAUAGCAGUUAAGAAAUGCAAUAGAGCAGUAAAUAAAAGCAGUAGAGAGCCGUAAAUAAAUGCAGUAGAGUGUAGUAAAUAAACGCAGUAGAGUGUAGUACAUAAACACAGUAGAGAGAAAUAAAGAAACGCUGUAGAGAGCAGUAAAUAAAGCAGUAUAGAGUGUAGUAAAUGAACGCAGUAGAGAGCAGUAAAUAAACGCCGUAGAGAGCAGUAAAUAAACGCAGCAGAGCGCAGUUAAUGAACGCAGUAAAUAAACGCAGUAGAGUGCAGUUAAUAAAUGCAGUAAAUAAACGCAGUAAAUAAACACAGUAGAGAGCAGUAAAUAAACGCAGUAUAUAAACACAGUAGAGAGCAGUAAAUAAACACAGUAGAGAGCAUUGAAUGAACGCAGUAUAGAGCAGUAAAUAAACGCAGUAGGGUGUAGUAAAUAAAUUCAGUAGAGUGCAAUAAAUAUACGCAGUAGAGUGCAGUAAAUAAACGCAGUAGAGCACAGUUAAUAAACCCAGUACAUAAACGCA